ACACUGUUAAAAAUUGCUGUUAAUUUACGUCAAAAUUUUAACAGUAUAAACCCGUUAUUUUAAAAAGCAGUGCUUACCUGUUUAUUUACGUUCGGUGAAAUGACCUAGAUAAAAUUUAACGUUAUUUUACCGUAUUUAUUGCUCGAAGGAAAGAAAACAGUACUUAACAGUAUUUUGGGAACAGAAAGCUGCAGCGAGCACAUGUGGAUUUUCAUCCGUCUUUAUAUUGUGAUUUAACCGUGCUAAAAUCGUCAACGUUCCAACGGCAUCAUAGAUUGGAGCUGGAUAGAUUCAGAUAUCCCCCGAUUACAAGGCAUCUUCCACUGCAGCUGAUGUAGAAAGGACACUUGAACUACCUUCAACUCCUCGACUGAUACUCUUUGGUAUGUAUAGAACUAUAUGAAUGUAUAGUCUAUUUUAUUACAUAAGCCAUUAAGAAUGUUUUUUCUGUAUUUCAAAAAACAUGGUAAAUGCUUCUGUACAACACUGAAAGGGACAGGUCACACAAAAUAAAUAUUCUGCUAUC